CAGGAAACAAAGACUAUGAUCUCAUAAACCUCCACUCAUCUCGGUCCCAGGGACUAUAUCAUCAUGGUCAGAGAGUUCAGUCCAUGAUUGUCAGGCUCCAAGGCAAAGAUAUCGUGAUGGAAGGAUAUGGUGAAGAAAAACUACUCAACUUAUGGCGUGUGGGAAGUUUCUUUUUGAGGUCUCAGGACUUUGGACUUGGACUGAAUUGUACCACUGGCUUUCCUGGAUCUACAGCAUGCAGACAGCAGUACAUGCCUCCACAAUGAUAUAGGCCAAGAUGUAUAAUAA